CUAAUACUUGAAAACGCCUCUCCUCUCCCUAUAUAUAUAUACCCAUCCUUCUUCAGCAGAGCGGGAAAAAGCAGCCCAGUGAAGUGGCAAGCAGCGCAAACCACUAACGUCGCCGUUCCAUCGUGCUUUAGGGUUUUCCGUUGAUGGAUCAAGAUCAACAAUGGCUACUCAAUUGUUUGUCUGCCACACUCGACCCCAACCCAGAGGUUCGAUGUUUCGCCGAGGCAUCCCUCGAUCAGGCCUCUCGCCAACCAGGUUUUGGCAGUGCAUUAUCAAAAGUUACUGCAAACAAGGAGCUCGCGGUGGGACUGCGUCAAUUAGCUGCUGUCCUUAUUAAGCAGUUAGUUAAAAAGCAUUGGCAGGAGGGUGAGGACACUUUUGAACCCCCUGUUAUCUCUACUGAUGAAAAGGAAAUCAUCCGAAGAAUGCUUCUAUUGGCAUUGGAUGACCCUCAUAGAAAAAUUUGUACGGCCAUUGGUAUGGCUGUUGCAUCUAUUGCAGUGCAUGACUGGCCGGAGUUAUGGCCAGAUUUGUUACCAUUUCUUCUAAAUUUGAUCAAUAACCAAGCCAACUUGAAUGGAGUGCAUGGCGCCAUGAGAUGCUUGACUCUUCUCUGUUCGGACUUGGAUGAUCAAAUGGUUCCAACAUUAAUACCUUCUCUGUUCCCGAGUUUGCUGACAAUUGUAUCAUCUCCCCAGAAAUAUGACAAAUACAUUCGAUCAAAGGCCCUUUCUAUAAUCUAUUCUUGUACAUCUAUGCUGGGGACAAUGAGUGGUGUCUACAAGGCAGAAACAAGUUCUCUGAUAGCUCCUUUGCUUAAACCAUGGAUGGGCCAAUUCUCUUCUAUUCUAGAAAUUCCAGUUCAAUCUGAAAAUCCCGAUGAUUGGAGUAUCAGAAUGGAGGUUUUGAAGUGCUUGAAUCAGUUCAUUCAAAAUUUUUCAAGUCUCUUUAAAAGUGAAUUUGAGGUUAUACUAGGACCUCUGUGGAAUACAUUUGUCUCUUCUUUGAGAGUUUAUGAGAAAGCUGCUAUUGAAGGAACUGAAGAUUCAUAUGAUGGAAGAUAUGAUUCUGAUGGUUCGGAGAAAAGUCUUGAUUCAUUUGUUAUCCAGCUCUUUGAACUCAUGCUGACCAUUGUGGGUAAUACAAGACUGAAAAAGGUGGUUGGGGCUAAUAUCAGAGAAUUGGUGUACUAUACUAUUGCUUUUCUUCAGAUGACAGAACAGCAGGUUCAUACAUGGUCUGCGGAUGCUAACCAGUUCAUUGCUGAUGAAGAGGAUGCCACUUAUAGCUGCCGCAUCUCUGGUGUGCUUUUACUGGAAGAGGUUGUGAAUUCUUAUGACGAUGAAGGAAUUUGUGCUAUCAUAGACAGUACAAAACAAUGGUUUAACGAGUCUCAAAUCAGAAAAGCAGCUGGCAAUGCAAGUUGGUGGAGGAUAAGAGAAGCUACUUUGUAUGCCCUAUCAUCUCUUUCAGAACAACUAUUUGAGACAGAGGAAACCAGGGUUUAUUCAAGUGACUUGAAGCACCUGCUUGAGCAGAUUUUUGCAGUAGACUCUCUAAUAGGUCCUCUUGAAUGCCCAUUUUUAUAUGCACGCAUUUUUACUUCAGUUGCUAAAUUUUCUUCUUUGAUAAGCAGUGGCUUAGUAGAGCACUAUCUCUAUUUAGGAAUGAAGGCAGUUACAAUUGAUGUGCCCCCACCUGUAAAAGUAGGUGCCUGUAGAGCCCUUUCUAACCUCCUUCCUGAAGCAACAAAUGAAGUUAUCCAAUCGCAGUUGUUGGGUUUAUUUUCAUCCCUCAUUGAUCUUCUUAAUCAUGCAUCAGAGGAAACCUUGCACAUGGUACUUGAUACAUUACUUGCUGCAGUAAAAGCAGGUCGUGAAUCAUCAACGGUAGUUGAAAACAUGAUUUCUCCUGUAAUCCUUAAUGUGUGGGCAUCGCAUGUUUCGGAUCCUUUUAUCAGUAUUGAUGCACUUGAAAUUCUUGAGACUAUAAAAAGCAUUCCUGGAUGCAUACAUCCAUUGGUUUCCAGAAUUUUGCCGUAUGUUGGACCAAUUUUGAAUAAACCCCAAGAGCAAACUGAAGGCUUGGUUGCUGGAUCACUAGAUCUGGUAACAAUGUUACUGAAGAAUGCCCCUGCUGAUGUAGUGAAAGCAAUAUAUGAUGUCUCUUUUAACGCUGUUAUCAAAAUAACCCUUCAAAGUGAUGACCAUAGUGAAAUUCAGAAUGCUACAGAGUGUUUAUCUGCAUUUAUAUCUGGGGGAAGACAAGAAAUUCUUGCGUGGGGAUCUGAUUCUGGAUCAAUUAUGAGAAGUUUACUUGAUAUAGCUUCAAGAUUACUAAACCCGGAACUGGAAAGCUCCGGGUCUCUCUUUGUUGGGAGUUACAUUCUUCAACUUAUUUUGCAUUUGCCAUCACAUAUGGCAGUACAUAUACGAGACUUGGUUGCUGCACUUGUCAAACGUAUGCAAUCUGCUCAAAAUGCCGUCCUGCGAAGCUCAUUGCUAAUUGUUUUUGCUAGACUGGUACACAUGAGCGUUCCUAAUGUUGGAGAUUUUAUUGAUUUGAUGAUCUCAAUUCCUGCGGAUGGACAUGACAAUUCGUUUGCUUAUGUGAUUUCAGAAUGGACCAAGCUGCAGGGUGAUAUACAGGGAGCAUAUCAAAUAAAAGUAACUACAAGUGCCCUGGCCUUGUUGCUAACCAGCAGGCACAAUGAAUUGGGAAAAAUACAUGUCCAAGGCCAUCUAAUUAAGUCUGGUGAGGGAGUGACCACAAGAUCAAAAGCUAAGUCAGCUCCGAAUCAAUGGGUAAUAUUACCACUUCCCACCAAGAUAGUGGCUUUGUUGGCGGAUGCAUUAACUGAAAUACAAGAACAAGUUUUGGAAGCUGAUGUUGUGGAUAGUGACUGGGAAGAAGUUGAAGCAGAUGGCAUUGAAAAUGAUAGAGAUUUUCUUUAUUCGGUGUCUUCACCUUUGGGAAAAGCCACUGAUGAACAUCUUCAAGCAAUGGCUAAAGUAUUUAAUGAGGAUCGAGAUGAUCAGUAUGACGAUAACCUUUUUAGUGUUGCCGAUCCCCUCAAUCAGUGACAGAUAAAUCUGGCAAAUUACCUUGUUGAUUUCUUUGUUAGCUUUUCGCAAUCUGACAGACAGCUCUUAGAUCACAUUUGCCAGAGUUUGACUCAGUCUCAACGAAAUGCCAUUCAAAUGGUACUGAAGAGAUGACAAUUUAGUGUGUAAUCAUCGAGUGCUGUCUCAAGGAUGGGUUGAUAAUACUAUUAAGAAUCCAACAAAGAUAUGGUUGGAAACCAAUAUUUUUCCAAUAUUCAGGUUGGGGAGGUCUGCAAUUCUGAAAGGUGUUUAUGUCUAUUGAGUUUUUUAUUGGAUGUGUUAUUGUAUGUAUUGGCGAUGUUUUGUUUUUAGUUGGUUUCUGCCCAUCUAUAAUUGACCAAAUAUUUUUUGUAUACCAAUUGUAUUUUGAUUAUUCAAGAAAAGGAAGAAAUCUCAGUUGGUAGCAUAAUGGUGCAUAAAAA